rnacentral:tRNA from 1 species
GUGGGCGUAGUUCAGCUGGUCCAGAACGCCAGGUUGUGGCCCUGGAGGUCAUGGGUUCAAAUCCCAUCGCUCACCCCA